UACGUAGGGACCAAGCGUUGUUCGGAUUUACUGGGCGUAAAGGGCGCGUAGGCGGCGUGGUAAGUCAGCUGUGAAAUCUCCGAGCUUAACUCGGAACGGUCAGCUGAUACUGCUGUGCUAGAGUACAGAAAGGGCAAUCGGAAUUCUUGGUGUAGCGGUGAAAUGCGUAGAUAUCAAGAGGAACACCUGCGGCGAAGGCGGGUUGCUGGGCCGACACUGACGCUGAGGCGCGAAAGCGUGGGGAGCAAACAGG
rnacentral:rRNA from 1 species